rfam:Myotis lucifugus cont2.18044, whole genome shotgun sequence.
GCCAGUGUGGCUCAGUGGUUGAGCACGGACCCAUGCACAAGAGCUUGCUGGUUCAAUUUCCAGUCAAGGGCA